UCCGUACCAUAUGCAUAUAUUAGUGGCGGCAUCACGCAUAUGCUAACUGCGGUAGUUUCUGGUCACUUCUAGGUUUCGAAUUCCAACUUCCAGAACCCUCCACUCUGAUAAAUGAAUACAUAUGUGAUACCAUUUGAUGUAAUGAUACGAUUUUUUACAUUUUUAAAAGAAAUAAAUUUAAAUCUAAAUAAUAAUAAUUUCAUUAAGUAAAAUGAAGAUAAAAAUGAAAGAAAAACAAAUAUGGGGUCACUAAAAAAAAGUAAAUACCGAUGUGAUUGAAAAUAAAAUAGCGAUCAGGAUUUAGAUUACCUAUCCGUCGUUGACGUACGCGUCAGACAACAGAAUCAUGAUUAGUCCUAAAAAAACCCUCCCGAAUUUAAUCCUAGCUUUCCGCAUCGCCGCGUGGACUGGACUUCGACGACUCACCG
rnacentral:lncRNA from 1 species